rnacentral:misc_RNA from 1 species
GAUGAAGAACGUAGUGAAAUGCGAUAAGUAAUGUGAAUUGCAGAAUUCAGUGAAUCAUCGAAUCUUUGAACGCACAUUGCGCCCUUUGGUAUUCCUUAGGGCAUGCCUGUUCGAGCGUCAUUUGAAACCUCAAGCUCAGCUUGGUGUUGGGUGUCUGUCCCCGCCUCACCGCGGGGACUCGCCUCAAAAUCAUUGGCGGCCGGUACGUUGGCUUCGAGCGCAGCAGAAACGCGAACUCGAGGCCCGGCGGAUCGGCGACCAGAAGUCACUUCUUCACAGUUUGACCUCGGAUCAGGUAGGGAUACCCGCUGAACUUAAGCAUAUCAAUAAGCGGAGGA